UGUAAUAACCUUGCCAAGGAGCAACAUUUUUGCCUACUUCUCUGUGCUAUUCCUUGUGUUCUUUGGGUUUUCCAAGAAAGACUGAGUAUAUAAACACAGCUUUGAUUCCAUUCACCUCCAGCUCAGCACCUUAGGACCUAAUCUUUGCCUACACUACAGCCGGCAACAGCACCAAUAUGUACAUACUGAUAAACAAACCCUGCUGAGGAAAAAGAAAAUUUUUGUUUAUUGGUUUUGAACUGCAAAAACAAAUUCAACCAGUUUAUAUUUGCUAGAUAAAAUAUGUCAUUUAAAGAUGUUAAUAUGAAGAUUAAAAUCAUUUUCUGGGGGGAGGAAAACUUUAUUGUAAUUUUUAUUUUCUACUUUAAAGCCAAAAUAUCAACUAACUUUUGCAGGAAGUUUUCUGCUUCUGUGUUACUCCCAGGAGAAUGUCACCUUUGCCCUCCAAAGUGCUAUUCCUUUUAUUCCACUUGGAUAACCAUCAUACUCAUAAACCCCGAUGGAACCAGUUAUAAACACCUGUGCUGCCACACAGUGAAAUAUGAGGAAAAUUCUAGGAGAAAGCCCAAAUGGAACCUGCUUAAGAACAAACAAAUAAAAGGAUUUGUUCUGAAAUAUACUCCAGCUCUGGCAUAAUUAGCUAAUUAAUCCACAGCCAGUAUAAUUAUCUACUAUGAGAGAGCCUGGAUGGGGAAAACAAAGCAGAAAGGUGAAACAAACAACAAUAUUGUGUUUCAUUGGUGAAAACAAAGCAAAACAAAACAAAAACAACAGUAAAACGCUUCAAUUAGGCAGAGUUUGUGUAGCACAAGGUCUAGCCACCUCUUCAUCCCACUCCAUCCUGCUGUUGUUCAAAGACACAAUACUGAGCAUACUGUGACUCUUCCUUUUGUUGGCACUUUUCACAGGCAUGAAUCCCACUCCCAGUGUUUAUUCCAUCCUUCCCCUUGCAAGCAGUCUUUUACCUCUUAAGGUGUUACUAUCCUGAGAGAAAGAAAUAUAAUUUAAACUGCUAGAUAUACAUAUAGCCUUGAGUCCAAGAUAUGCUUCAUCUCCCUAAGCAAAUUGCACAAGUGCCAAGCAUGUGCAUGAAGUGCAUUUGCACAAUUUUUGUCUAGUAGAUAGAUUGAUAGAUUGUGGCUUUGCUAGUGCCACUGAGGAUGCUGGAGGCUUGCCUGAUACUACCCAGAGAUGAGGCUGCCACUGCCCUUUACUUGUCCAGCAGCCUGGUGACAGCAGCCAUCCUAGCCACUAUAAGGCCCUGGACAGGAUAAGCCAGGGUCUGAAGUUGAUUUUUUCCAUGGUGGCCAUUCCUCCUUCCUCUAGCUCAGAGAAGGGCACUGUCACACAGGCACCCAAAACAGCAACCAGAGGAGGCUGAAGUAGAGGACAGAAGCAGGGGCCCCAUCAGCUCCCAUCCCUGCUCAGCUCAGGUAAGCAACUGUCCCUCUUUUAAUGGUGAAAGGGAAGAAGCAUGAAGAGAAGGGCUCAUUUAAAGCCUAUUACCUUCAUCCUUCCUCACCUCUGCCAUUGCCAAACCUUGGCAGCAGUGCCUACAUCCACCCCCAAGGGAGAGAAGAGUGAGCACUACAGUAGUGACCCAUCUUUGCCACGGAGUAAUCAAAGUGACAUUCUGCCUCAGCAUACUCAAAUUAGCAGGAUUGGACACUGCUGUCUCAACUCUGUUUGCAGCACAACGUGGCUCAGAUCACAGCGAUCACUGCCAUGCAUCCUUCUCUUUUUGCAGCAGUUUUCUGGAGGAGAGACACAGACAUCCCCCACCCUCCCAGCACUGGCAGAAGGACUGAUUCGUCAAGCCCAACUCUCUGAGGCAAUCUGCCAGACGACAGAGUUGCUGGUGGGGUGCCUCGAUGCUGUCAGUUGCCCAUAUGUCUAUUGGGCAGCUACUGCUUGUGCGAACCCCACUCUGAGAAAAAAUCAGAGCAUGGUUUGGGAUGUCUAUAUACGAACUAAUUUCAUAAUCCAAGAUAGUUAAAUGAAAAAAUGGAUAAUUAAAAAUAUAUAUAAAAAUGAGGGGUUGAGCAAACAGCUCAUUUAUUUGCUUUCUUGUCAAAACAAAGUAAAUUAUGAGGUAAUAAAUAUAUUACAAAAUUUAAGCCUGGGUAAAUUUGAAGUAAUGCAAGGGGAAGGGAGGGAGAACAGAUGGGCAGAUUCAGCACAAAUUCACACCUUGUGCUGGCUGACUCAAACUGUUCAUCUCUGCAGAUAAACUAAUCUGUAAACCAGGAGCAGCUGAGCAAAAGGGAGCUUAUGAGGUAGCCUUACAGUGCUGUCUACAGGGUCUUUCCAACCACUCUAAAGCGGAGCUGUGAGUAAGCUCUUUCUCAUCCAAGGGUAUCAGGCUUUGUAUGCCUCCCUAUGUCUUGUCCAGCAUCCACAUAGCCCACUUCAUUGUCAUUGGCACACAGCUGAUCUUGCUUCCACUUCACAACAAGCUCUGCCAAAGGCUGAAGCUAAUUCUGAUGUCCUUUCUGGGCAGCAUCGCUUUGUGUGAUUCUUGUUAAGUGCUCUGGGACCUAAUAUAAUCAUACUGUGGCUCUGAGACAUCAGCAGGGCUGUGACAAUGGGACAGAUCAGCCUGCUCUCUGGACUUUUUCUCUGGCUAUGAAAAUCAGAACAUUUAAUUUUAAACAUAAAAAUAUCUUGAUUGUGUGAUAGUCUGAAGGUUUCUAUAGUUUGCAGCACCAGCCUGUUAUCCUCAGCCACAACUGGAGUACCUUUGUGCUUGGCACUGUUACAGAUCAUUAAGAUUACAGGGUAGAUGCCUGUACUGCUCUCUUAUUAGACUGUGAAACGAGACACAUUUUGGGGAAAAGAGUAAUAUGACAACGAAAUAACCUAUAUUAUGUUUUCAAAGACAUCCAUUACCUCACAUUUUCUUUCUUCACCAUCAAAAAUUUGAGUUACCUUCUUGCUGUGUGCUUUUAAGAACAAAAAAGAAUAAAUGAUUCCCUUGUAGUACAAGCCUUCAUUGAAAAUCUACAAGUAGAACACUCAAAACUUUACUUGGAAUAUGAACCUGAUUUCUGCCUCAAGUCUUAAGAUUCUUAGCUUGUCUGAAAUCCUUCUCUUUCAUCCUUUCCUGACCAGAGCAUUACCACAAAGACUACUAAAUGCAACCACGUCACUUACAGCUUCAAAAUAAGUUUAAAUGAGAAACAAAUUUUAUAUUCACUUUGUACUGGAUGGCCUGAACCUGAACAGAGUGAAUUUUCUUCACUCAGAGUGCAUAUAUUUUGCCCAGAAAAUUUGUCUACUAGGGGGAAAUCCAAAAUUAACCAGACUUGUAAGAUCUAAAGGUAAUGAAGAAUUACUAUAUCAUUUACUCAGUCUACUGUAUUCCUAUUUUCCUUUAUUUUUUUUUUCCAGUGGUGUAUCUUACUGAGUUUUAGACUUCUCAAAAAUAAGUCUUCAGUCAUUCCUCUAAGGAAGUAAGCUGAAUCAUUGUUAUCGUAAGUUUAGGUUAAUUAGUGCAUUCAUACAAAAAGCUACAGUUUUUCUGAAAACAAACUGGGUGUGCAAGCUGAAAGCCUGGUGUGUAAGAGAGAGGUUAUAACAGGAAAUUCAGAAUAAAGAAUUAAAUAGCUGAGUCUACAGCUACAGUAGUGAUACAAAGCUAGGCUGCUCUAUAAUAUGCAUGCACAACAUUUUAUGUCAAUAUACUCUGAAGAUAUCUGGUCAGGUAGACAUGGGAUGAUGUUACAUGAAACUCCUCUCACCUCUGCAGGCUAUAAGAUCCCUGAGGAAAGACACCUCUUAUUUGUCUGUCUUUGUUUGUUUGGUGUCUACUGCCAUAAGCAUCUGUUCUUUACACAGUCCUACAAUUAAUUAUAGGUCAUGAGACUCAAGACAACCUUAGUACCCCUUGGCUAAGAGGCAUCCUGUGUGCUGGCUAGCAGAUACCAUUUAGUCUUUUGAUUUCUGUGAAGAAUGCUAGGUCUACCCAAAGAUUUUUUUUAUUUUAUUUUUUUUAAAUCUGUGCAUUUAUGUUCCUUGUGUUCCUCUCUUCAAAUAAAAACUUAUCCUUACUGGAAGUGGCAUUUUCUAUCAAUUAAUGAUGGUUAAAAAAAAAGAAAAAAAAAAAAAAAGAAAAAAGAAAAAAAAAGAAAAAAGACACUGGUCCUAUUUUUCUCCUCUUCAAAGACAGACUUAACUGAAACAAAUUUUUUAAACCUGAGUUCUUCUUGUUUUCUUGAAAGACUGUCCUGGAGGGUCAAUCUUCCUCUCAGGGUGUAUUUAAUGAGGAUGGGAUGGCAAGGCAGCAAGUGCAACCAUCCUGCACUCACCAGCCCAGAUCCAACCUCUUCCCUGGGGGCAGGCAGAGGGUGUCUGCCACAGUGUUCUCAGUGAGGAACAAAUCUGGAAAGUACUUGGUGAAAGGCAGUCAAAUAUUCUUCUAAAGAGUGUCUGUAUAGUCCAAACUCUCUCAGAGCCUCAUUUUCAUUAUGCCUUUAUGAGCCCCAUCUUGUCAUCAGACUCCAUUGUUUUUAUGGAAUCUUUUCUGUUUGGAGAUAGAAGAUGUGAAGAACAAAGGAAAUGUCUGUACUAUCCUUAAGAAUCCUGGGUAUUGAGGUGAGAGAGCAAGUUUUCAAAUACAGAUUUAGUAAGACUGGGAGUAGUUGUUAGAGUCUUUUUUUUUUUUUUUUAAUUUUAAUUUUUUUUUUCAAGGUUUCCUAAAGUGACCCAGAUGUCUGCAGUUGUAACCCAAGCUGAGGAAGCAAUUAGAAGGGUGGUUCUCUGGCCCCACCUGGAACUCAGUGGAUCAGCACUGGAAAGACAGGUGCAUUGUGAACCUGCUGCAGGCACCAUCUGCAGAAGUUAGACUCAGACAUCAGAUGGAGCAUUUUGCAUACAUAAGCAUACAUUACGUAUACAAGCUAUGGAGGAAAUGAAGCCUCAUUCUUUGCACUAUUCCUUUAAGGAGAGGAGACCCCUCUGAUGCGCACUUACAUGCUCUACUGUUAGAGCCUUGAUCUAAGACUGAUACUACUGAAGAUGUUUUUCCCCAGUCAAACAGAUUUAUAACAUAUAUUUAGCAACAGUAACAACAUUAAGAAUGCUGUAUUUUCCCAAAUUGUGACAUUAAGAGGGGAAAUUAUCAUUUGAAGUGCAAGGAAGGACUUUAUUAGGAAUGCAUUGAAAGCUAAAUCAGGACUACUCCCAGCUGUGUUUCUGGAGAGAUGUUGUUUCUUCCACUACCUUACCAAUUUACCUUGAGCAAGCUAUUUAACCUCCUUCUUUCUACCUCUUCCUCUCUAGAAAACAAAACUAAUCCUAAACCACAAGAUUUUCAGGCUCAACCAAAGCCCAGCAAAGUCAGUGGUGGUUACUAAUUCCUGAGGACUUUGAGUCAAGCCUUCAGUCAAAUAUUUAAGUAGUUAAUAUUUUUAACUAUCAUACUAACUGUUAUUACUUUUCAUGACUAUGAAUGAUAUGGGAAGUUGUUACUGUUAAGUAGUCAGAAGCUGACAACAUUUUUUUUUUCUGCACAGAGUAGCACAUGAAUUGCUAUAAAUCUGUCCUAGAUUUAAAAUAGCAAAGAUAGUGGUAGCUGAGCAGCCGUAUGCUGGCUUGUUAAUAUUCAUGAAUGCUAUGAAUCUGAAUACAUUAAAACUUUUCAUUUAGACAUCAAAA